AUACCUGAGUCAUUUUACACCAACGGGGGCUUGAAAUUGAGGGUUGUAUGGACUAUUAGUUCCUUGAUUGCUGCCUCCGCGAGGCAUUACUUGCUUCAACCCAUAAUAGCAGAGCACAAGACUCUUGAUAGCUUGGUACUGACUGAUGCUGAUGGGCAGGGAGUGCUGUGUAUGAAUAGGGAGCAACUGGAGGAGUUGAGGGUGAAGCCCUUAUCUGCUUCUUCUGCAUCGAAGAGAACGCUUGUUCCUGCCCUGAAUAUGCGACUUUGGUAUGCACCCUACUUGGAAUUGCCUGAUGGACUUGUGUUGAAAGGGGCAACUUUGGUUGCUAUUAGACCUAGCGAGCAGUCUACUGCCAAGAAGGAGGUUUGUGAUGCAUCUUGGGUUUCCACUGCUUUUGAAGAGCCUUAUGGCACUGCCGCAAAGAUGCUGGUUAAGAGAAGGACUUACUGCUUGGAGAUGAACUCAUUCUGAAGAUAGCAAUGGAACGGAAAGCGCAAAUGUUUUUGGGGGAGGUGAAUGUGCAAGUUCUUUCAGUAGUGGAAAAUCAGAAACAAAUUUUGCUUUACACUUGGCCUGAAGUGGGUUUGCUGUCCCAUGGAGCUGAAUUGUGUGGUCUAUUGCUACUAUGACACCCAUCCUCGGUUGAUUAUUCACUGCAGUGAUUCAAGUUAUUCUGUGCUUUAACUGAGAAUUAAAAUGCAUCUGCUGCUUGUUUUUAUUGAGGCAUAUGCUUGUAAUUGUGCGCACAUGCAACUAGAUGAAUGUUGUAAGAGCUUUGAGUUUGUUGUCCUUUACUUCAAUCUGUAAUCUGUGUAUGUGAAAAUUGUAGGUAUGAAUAUG
rnacentral:misc_RNA from 1 species